GACGAACGCUGGCGGCGUGCUUAACACAUGCAAGUCGAACGGAAAGGCCCUGCUUUUGUGGGGUGCUCGAGUGGCGAACGGGUGUGUAACACGUGAGUAACCUGCCCUUGACUUUGGGAUAACUUCAGGAAACUGGGGCUAAUACCGGAUAGGAGCUCCUGCUGCAUGGUGGGGGUUGGAAAGUUUCGGCGGUUGGGGAUGGACUCGCGGCUUAUCAGCUUGUUGGUGGGGUAGUGGCUUACCAAGGCUUUGACGGGUAGCCGGCCUGAGAGGGUGACCGGCCACAUUGGGAAUGAGGUACGGGCCAGACUCCUACGGGGGGCAGCAGUGGGGAAUAUUGCACAAUGGGCGGAAGCCUGAGGCAGCAACGCCGCGUGCGGGAUGACGGCCUUCGGGUUGUAAACCGCUUUCGCCGGUGACGAAGCGUGAGUGACGGUAAUGGGUAAAGAAGCACCGGCUAACUACGUG
rnacentral:rRNA from 1 species